rnacentral:rRNA from 1 species
UAGAGUUUGAUCCUGGCUCAGGACGAACGCUGGCGGCGUGCUUAACACAUGCAAGUCGAGCGGAUGAGAGGAGCUUGCUCCUGGAUUCAGCGGCGGACGGGUGAGUAAUGCCUAGGAAUCUGCCUGGUAGUGGGGGACAACGUUUCGAAAGGAACGCUAAUACCGCAUACGUCCUACGGGAGAAAGCAGGGGACCUUAGGGCCUUGCGCUAUCAGAUGAGCCUAGGUCGGAUUAGCUAGUUGGUGAGGUAAUGGCUCACCAAGGCGACGAUCCGUAACUGGUCUGAGAGGAUGAUCAGUCACACUGGAACUGAGACACGGUCCAGACUCCUACGGGAGGCAGCAGUGGGGAAUAUUGGACAAUGGGCGAAAGCCUGAUCCAGCCAUGCCGCGUGUGUGAAGAAGGUCUUCGGAUUGUAAAGCACUUUAAGUUGGGAGGAAGGGCAGUAACUUAAUACGUUGCUGUUUUGACGUUACCGACAGAAUAAGCACCGGCUAACUCUGUGCCAGCAGCCGCGGUAAUGUCGGCCC